UCCCUGAAGCUCAGAAGAGAGGCCCCCUGCUCACUUGUCCCCCAAUUCCCUCUCCGCAGGUCACACCUGGGCGACCCUCCCGCGCACACCCAGCCAGAGCCUCCCGGACCCAAAUCCCAGACGGAGCUGUAUGAGAACGUGGGGCUGGGAUACGCAGCAGGGGGCGCCGAUCCUGCCCGGUUGUGAUGGCCCCGUUGGCCCCUGUGGCGUGAUCGCCGCCCCUCAAGCCCUGUGCUGGGGUCCGGGCGGGGCCGCAGCAUGUCAACACCCAGCGCCCCCCACAGAGCGGGGUCAGAGUCUCCCUGAGGGCACCAGGGGCUUUCCAAGGAGAAGAGGUGGAAGAGGAACCCAGGCAUCCGGCUCCCCACCUUCCCCACCCCCAUGGGGGCUGGGGUGACAGAUGGGGCCUGGGCAGUUGGGGGGGUUGGAGCGGAGAAUAAAGAGAACAGAGCAGCAUU